AUCCCACUUUCUUCCCCCAUUACUUCAACUUCCACACACUCUCUCUCCCCCAUUACUCUCAGAAACCUAAAAUCUACCCCCCGGAAAAACCACAAACCCAAAUCCUACACCCAGGAGACGAACGGCGUACACCCGGCGACGACCAGCGUAUAACCAAGAGACGAACGGUUUAAACCGAUUACUCUGAAAACAACAAAAACUACUAUUUUUUCGUAUCAAACGGGGCACACCAAGACGAAUCGUUGAAGAGCUUUGGUAAAAAUGGUCAACAACAGAACCGCUUCGAAGAGGCCUGCUAGCCAACACACAGGUAACAAGAGAGCACGAAAUCUUCAAGUUGAGGACAUUGGGGGAGCUAUGCCAGCUUCAUCAAAGCAUGGAAUGCCUCAGGCUAUCCAGUCAGCAGCUGAGGAGCAAGCCAAACAUUGGAAAGAAAUGCCAACGAAGCUUGAGAAUGUUGAGGGUGAAGUACAUGCGUACCCUGCUGACUUGUGAUCACAACCGUAGCCGUUCAACUAACCAGACCCACGCAAUCCAACAUUGGAAAGAAAUGCCAACGAAGUUCAACUUCGACCACUGGUUUGAAAACUAUGGUCUGGAAUAGGGUGUUAUUAUGAACAAUUAACAACAGUGAAUCUUGAAUUGCUUUUGGUUUUAGUAGUAAACUUAUGGGAUAGUUUUUGUUGGAAGGAUAUUUGGUCUUUGUAGUUAACUUAUGGGAUUGUUUUGGAUGGAUGGAUGUUUGAGCUUUUGUGGAAAACUUAUUCGUUUUGUUCUGAUGAA